GUAAGAUUUUCAAGAUACUCACUAUGAAGAAAUCAUCCUUAGAAGAAAUUCUAUCAAAUUAUCAAGUCAAAAUACUUAAAAAAAUAAGUUCUCAUAAGUUUGGAUGGUUUAUUAUGAAGAUAAAUGAAAUUAGAAGAAGCAAAUAUCAUUUGGAAGUAUUGAAGCCAAGAAAUUCAAGUUUAGGAGGCUAAAUUUUGAAGAAAAAUAUUGUGGGAAGGUUUGGAGCCGACUCUGGGAGGUUUCAAGUCGACUCUAGCAUGUUGAAAAAAAACUGGCA
rnacentral:lncRNA from 1 species